GUGUUCUAUAGUUAAAUACAUACCGUUCCUGGCUCAUUUAAUUUAACCAAAUACUCCAUCAUUAAAAGAUUAUUUGAUCGUAUUACGCAUCAGGUAUGUAUUACAUAAUGUAUUGUAGCCUGACCUUAUAUAUAUAUAUAUAUAUAUAUAAUCAUGAUAUCCCAAACAGUUAAAAAGAACAAAAAGAUAAUUAAUUCCCUUUUAACUGUCAACUCCAGUCUGGCAUUUGUGAAAAAUCAUCGACUUAAGCUGGCUUGAAAGAAGUGGAACUCUUGCUCAUGCAUUGUAAUGACGGGAGGCAGCUCGAGAGCCCGCUAGCCCACACGGAUCGCAAUUAAAAGCCCCCCUGUGACGGCCUAACAGAACGCUGUCAAUUCAUGUUUUAUGCAAAUCAAGCUCCACCAGCCAGGGCACGGAAAGACUCCCGAGGAGGAACACUGAUUCACGGGGGACCGUCUGUGUCUCAGCACAGCCGAGCAUCACGUUACAAAGUACUUUAUGUUUCAAAGUCUAGAGAAACGUCAUAGAAGAACCUGAAGUUUGUUUUUGAUGGGUUAUAUGACAACAAAGCAUAGUCACUGGCAGCCUGCUUGGGACAGAGUGGGUUUCAAAAUUUGAUGCACACUAUCAAGUUGUGAGGAUCCUGUAUCAAAGUAGGACAGCCGGUAUUUUACUGGACAAAUCGGUACAGUUGAAAGUUGUCACAUCCUGGGGACUUUUGAAAAACCUGUACCUAAUAUCAGCAAUUCCCCUCAGCAGCUCAGGAGAACUGAAGAUCAGUGGGCAUCCUCCAAUGCCACGACCAAACCAGUUGCCGCUUUACACCCAGGAACUCGAGAGCAGAUGUUGGUGAGCUACUAGCUUCUGGAGGACAAGCGUCAGCCCUGCAGGUCUCAGCUUGAGCUCAGCAGAUGCCUGGCCAGUAGGGUCCGCCGUAGCGGGAUGAGGAGAAACAAUCCCUGCUGGUUUUGCCUUCCUCAGGGGCGCCACAGCCAAGGUGACAGUCCUUCUGGAAUCCACAGCCAGGAUGCGAAUCUGCGCUCCCCUGACUGCAUGACUCACCCUGCACACCACGUGCCCCUGCUUUUACCAGGGACCCCCAACCUUUUUAGGUAUAAAAAAAGUUUAAAUACAUCUUUAAAACUUCCUCUCAUCAAUGCAGUGCAUCUUGAUUUAUUUCUCACACGUUUCAGAUUAGUUCUGAAAGCCCUGCUGGUAGGAAGCUUUGUGUGUGCCGCCACCAUCUAACCUGUAAUGAGCUCACCAGAGAGUUAACAUUAGAACUUUAGAAACACUCUCUUCUUUCAGCGCCUCUGUGAAAGGAACUCAUUUUAAUUUACUGUUGUUAUUUGUGAAUGGAAACUCUUAAGGGAAGCACCAGGAGUUUAGUGAUGCCAUGAAGGACACAAUACAGAAGGAAAUAACAGAAAUAGGCCCCCUAUGUGUACUUUUAACCAGAGCUUACAGCUGUUAGUGCUAAUUACAAUGUAGCAUGUUCUAAUAAAGUAUUUACUAAUCACAU